CUAACGCUGGCGGCGUGCCUAACACAUGCAAGUCGUGCGGGGGAGCAAUCCCCAGCGGCAGACGGGUGAGUAACGCGUAAACAACGUGCCCUCUUGCUUGGGAUAGCUGGCCGAAAGGCCAGGUAAUACCGGAUGUGGUCCCUGGUAGGCAUCUAUCGGGGAAGAAAGCAGCAAUGCACAAGAGGAGCGGUUUGCGACCUAUCAGCUUGUUGGUGGGGUAAUGGCCUACCAAGGCUUCGACGGGUAGCCGGUCUGAGAGGAUGAUCGGCCACACUGGCACUGAGAUACGGGCCAGACUCCUACGGGAGGCAGCAGUGAGGAAUUUUGCGCAAUGGGCGAAAGCCUGACGCAGCGACGCCGCGUGAGGGAUGAAGGUCUUCGGAUCGUAAACCUCUGUCAGUGGGGAAGAGCAAGGACGGUACCCACUGAGGAAGCUACGGCUAACUACGUGCCAGCAG
rnacentral:rRNA from 1 species